AAUAAAGUCAAUUUGGUAGACCCAGUCCUCCCUUUGUUCGGGGCAAUAAAGUGUACACUUGUUGAUAUGGGAUUCAAAUAUAUACAAAUCUGUUUUCAGAAUAGAGAUAGGGCAGGUAGAGCAGCUUUGGCAGUAAUGUCAUUUUAACAGAGUUUAUGCAGCCUAUCCAAGAGAUUUUGUGUGUACUCCACCCCUCCAGAAGAGACACCAAGGAUUUGAACAUUGCCGGAUAGUUAAAUUUAUACAGGGAGUCAUAUGAUUUGGAUAACUUUACCCCUAGUAUAGAGAUGUAGUGGGACUGCCAGUGAAAAUCAAAAUUAAGUUUUAGAAGUUUCACUGCAUGCUCUGGUAAAUUGAUGUAUUUAUUUGAGGGAAUACAGGGUUAUGGGAGAUAGCUCUUAGUACUAGUUGAUCCAGGGACUGGUCCGAUUGCCAUCUUGGAGUCAGGAAGGAAGGUGCUAUUGCUAGGGCCUCGAUAGCUAGGUCGAACAAUAUUGGUGAAAGGGGGCAACCCUGUCUUUUUCCACGGCUUAUAGGGAAGGUGGAGGAGGAGAAACCUAAUAUGUUCACUAGAGCUGUGGGGGCUCUGUAUAGCACUUUAAUCCACGAGGCAAAGUUAGUCCCAAAGCCCUAUUGGUUUAGUAUAGAAUAUAGGUAGUCCCAUGAUAGGGAAUCAAAGGCUUUCCUAAUAUACAGUUUAAGGAGCAUAGAUUGUAUGUGAGAUUGAUUAGCGUAGUAGGUUAGCAAAGCGAUGAGUCUAAUUGCAUCAGAUGCUUGUCUCCCAGGUAUAAACCCCACUUGAUCUUUAUGAAUCAAGAAGGGGAGGAAAGUGUUAAUUCUAUAUGCUAUUAUUUUCCCAAGUAGUUUAAUGUCUGUGUUCAGGACUGAGAUGGGUCUGUAGUUCUUAACGUCUAAUAUAUCUGAGUUGGGUUUGGGUAUAGCUGAGAUUUUUGCUUGGAGGGACUCCUGUCGUAAAGUACCUCCAGCCUUGAGGCUAUUUAACAUUGCUGUGAAAUGUGGGGUAAGCUCCUUCAUGAAUUUUUUGAAGUAGAUGUUGGGCAAACCAUCUAUACCGGGAGCGGUACCUGUUUUUAGAUUCCUAAUGACAUUAGUAACUUCUUCAGCGGAAAUCUCCUGUUCUGUUAAGUCAAUUUGAUCUUGGGAAAGUUUAGGGAGGUUAAGGUCACAGAACAACUUAUCAUAUGUGUUGCGAGAUAUAGGGACUGGGUUAGUGUAUAGUUUUUGGUAGAAUGAAGCAAACUUGUUGGCAAUCUUUAUGGGAUUUCUUGUUUGGAAGCCUUGAGCUGUGCGUAUGCGAUGAAUGGAGGGGAAGGGAUCCCGAUUGUUCAAUUUACGUGCUAAUGACCUACCCUGCUUAUCUAAUGAGUAAAAUAAUUUAUGCUUAGCCCAUCUAAGUUUCUUUUCCGCUGCUGUGGUUAGCAGUAAAUCUAGUUCCUUCUGGAGUUGAGAUAUUUGGGGUUGGUAGUCAGAGAGGGUCUUCUAUCUGUUUAAAGGCCAUUUGGUCUAGGGAAUGAGUGAGAAGUUGGAUCGCCUUCUCUCUCGCACUCUUCCGCUGCAAACCUAUCUGGAUAAAUUGUCCCCUAAUCACUGGUUUGGGUGCCUCCCAUAAUGUGGAAGCCAUGGGGCCAGACUGGGAAUUCUCGGUGAAAUAUUGUGACAAGCCUUUUUUAAUGUUCUCGAUUACUUCAGGAAAGCUUAACAAUGACUCAUUUAGUCUCCAAAAUCUAACUCUUAGGCGUUCGUGAAGUUGGGAUAAUGAAGUUAGGAUGGGGCAAUGAUCUGACCAACUAAUGUUUAACAUUCUGGAGGGGUGGAGCAGCGGUAUGAGAGAAGGAGAAAGGAACAUAUGGUAGAUUCUUGAGGAAACUUUAUGAGGGGCAGAGUGGUGAGAGAAUUGUUUAACGUCUGGGUUUUUUUCCUCCAUGCAUCUACAAAAGAAUAGGAUUUAAGAAGCUCUCUAAAGCACUGGGAUGUCUUGAGGGCACUAAGGGGAGUCUGUUUUCCUGAGAGUGAUAUACAGUCUAGUCUAUCGUUCCAAACUGAAUUGGAGUCACUGCAGAUUAUCAGUGGGCCCAGUUGGUUGCUAUGGCAUGAGUCAAAUAAUUUAGUUAGAAACUCUAUCUGGUCGAUAUUAGGGGCGUAGUAGGUUACUAUAGUUAAAGGGGAGUCCCCUAUGUGAACGUUAGCAAUUAUAUAACGGCCUUCAGGAUCAAUAUGUUUGUUUUAUCAAUUGUUAUUGCUAUACUAGAGUGAAAAAAUAUACCGACCCCUUAAGUUUUGGUGGAACUUGUUGACAAUAUUGAUCUCGAAAAUCUCCUAUGGAAAUACUUAGGAAAGGAAGUAUGAGUUUCCUGUAAGCAUAUGACAUCAGCUUGUAGUGAGUUAAAGAAGGUAAAGGCUUUAGUUCUUUUAACUGGAGAGUUUAAGCCUUGGACGUUUAAGCUUAAGAUUUUAAAAGCCAUGGGUGUAAGAUGGCGUCAAUGCUUCUAGAAACUGCCCACAGCCGACCCUGUAUACAUAUAUACAAAUGUAAAAACCUAGAAAGACCUGUCCAAAUAGAACCAUAUAAACAUUAGUAAACAAAUGUACAAUAAUCACAAAAAAUGCAAUUGUAAGAUCCCGGUAAAUUUCUCUGAAGCCCCUAUCAAGGGAGGCUUCGGAAUAACCGGAUAGGGGGAGACACAUGUUCUGGCUAGCACUUUUGAAAUUGACCACAAUAUCCCCAAUAUUAGCUUGGAGUAGGGAAGAAAGAAAAAAAAAAAGGAGGGGGGGGAAGGGGGGUAGAAGGUGGCAAAUGGUGAAUGUCAAAUAGGCCCCCUGGUGGUGUCGGUGGCUCAGUAUCAGUGUUCCAGGGUUGGUUAAGCAAAAAAGCUCCAAAAGUGUCACAGAUAGAGAAACCAAGGGGGGGCAGCUCAAACGAGGCACACGAACACAGUGAUACAUAUAUAAAAAAAAAAGAAAGAGGGAAAAGGAAAAAAGAAUUGUUAACUGGUUGUGUAGGUAGAUAGAAACCCACAAUGAGACUGCAGCUGUAUGCGCUCCAACUCAGAGCAGGGCUUUGUUAUCUCACCUGGCCAGGUACACCUAUAGCCGGCAGGUUCUUAUGUCCAUUGGACUGCUGUGCAGCAGGAGAUGUGCGGCAUCAUCAGCGGAGUUUCUCUGCGUCUAUAAUAUCCUAGACGCUAUUGCACAGACGACUGGUUCUCCGUGGAUCACAGCUCCAUCUUCGGCUUUGCGGAGUUGCCGGCGGUGCGGUUAUCACAAGCGGAGGAGAGGGUGUUGGGGCGGCGUGUUGGCAAGACUAAGGAGAUGGCUGCAUAGACCGCUGCUUCCAAGCAUCUUUCUUUCAAACGCUAGGUCCUUAGCUAAUAAAUUGGAUGAAUGGAAACUACGAAUUGCAACAGAAAAGAUCUUGAUGGGCUGCUGCAUUCUGCUGAUUACGGAGACAUGGUUAAAUCCUUGCAUUCCUGAUUCGGCCAUUGAAUUAGCAAGGCUACACAGCGUAUCGGCAUGACAGGUCAGAGAAUUCUGGAAACAAGCUCCUAUUACGAUCAGGACUGUUACUACAUGGUCUGCGGAUCCCUCUCAACAAUUGCAGGACUGUUCUGAGAGAACUCAUUGGGAGAUCUUUAAACAACAGGAUCUGGAGUCCUAUACCACAACAGUUCUGGAUUACAUUAGGUUCUAUACGGAUAAUGUCACUAGGGAUAGAAUGAUGAGGAUUUAUCCAAAUAGGAAGCCCUGGAUGACAAGGGAGGUGCAGGGACUAUUGAAAGACAGGAAUAUUGCUUUUAGGAGUGGGGACAGGGUGCUUUAUAGUGCGUUGAGAGCCAACCUGAAGAGAGGUAUCUGGGAGGCAAAGGCAGCCUGUAGAACAAGGAUAGAGGAGCAUUUGAGUAGCAAAAACACCAGACAGGUGUGGAGGGGUGUUCAGCACCUCACCAGUUAUAAAUCAAGCAUUACUGGGAUCAUUGAGGGAGAUGCUUCUUAAGCAGAAGAGUUGAACAUCUUUUUGCCCGUUUUGAGGUGCCACAAACAGCUGGUCUAUUGCAGUCACCUAGUUAUAAUGGAGAUGUGUUUAUGGUGGGGAAGGCGGAUGUGAGGCAGGUGUUAAGGAAGGUGAACCCAAGGAAGGCUGCUGGAUCCGAUGGUGUGGCUGGACGGGUGCUGAAGGACUAUGCACAGCAAUUGCCCGUAGUCCUUACUGAGAUUUUUAAUCAGUCCCUCUCCCAGGCUUUUGUUCCACCUUGUCUUAAGUCUUCCAUCAUUGUUCCAUUGCCAAAAAAAUCUGUUACAAAGAGCUUGAAUAAUUUUCGUCCAGUGGCACUUACAUCUGUUAUCAUGAAGUGUUUUGAGAAACUGAUGCGAAAUCAUAUCAUGCGUGUCUGCCAGCAGAUUUGGAUCCAUUCCAAUUUGCUUAUAAGGCAAAGACAUCUACUGAGGAUGCUGUGGCGACCGCUCUUCAUGCUGUCUUGACUCAUCUGGAGCAACGGGGGAGUUAUGCAAGACUGCUUUUUGUGGAUUUCAGCUCAGCGUUCAAUACCAUAUUUCCACAACGUUUAGUGUUCAAAUUGGACUUCCAUUGCUUACUUGUAGCUGGAUCUUGGACUU